UACGUAGGCAGCAAGCGUUGUUCGGAAUUACUGGGCGUAAAGAGUGUGUAGGCGGUGUUCUAAGUUCGGUGUGAAAUCUCCCGGCUCAACUGGGAGGGUGCGCCGAAAACUGGAGUGCUGGAGCGCGGGAGAGGAAAGCGGAAUUCCUGGUGUAGCGGUGAAAUGCGUAGAUAUCAGGAGGAACACCAGUGGCGAAGGCGGCGACCUGGGCAGAUACUGACACUGAGGUGCGAAAGCGUGGGGAGCAAACAGG
rnacentral:rRNA from 1 species